rnacentral:rRNA from 1 species
UACGUAGGGUGCGAGCGUUAAUCGGAAUUACUGGGCGUAAAGCGUGCGCAGGCGGUUUUGUAAGUCAGAUGUGAAAUCCCCGGGCUUAAUCUGGGAACUGCAUUUGGGACUGCAAGGCUUGAGUACGGCAGAGGGGGGUAGAAUUCCUGGUGUAGCAGUGAAAUGCGUAGAUAUCAGGAGGAAUACCGAUGGCGAAGGCAGCCCCCUGGGUCGAUACUGACGCUCAUGCACGAAAGCGUGGGGAGCAAACAGG